rnacentral:rRNA from 1 species
UUCGCAAUGCCCGAAAGGGUGACGAAGCGACGCCGCGUGCGGGAAGAAGGCCUUCGGGUUGUAAACCGCUGUCGGGAGUUAAGAAAUGCAAGGGUGUUAACAGCAUCCUUGCUUGACUAAGGCUCCGGAGGAAGCCACGGCCAACUCUGUGCCAGCAGCCGCGGUAAUACAGAGGCGGCAAGCGUUGUUCGGAAUUAUUGGGCGUAAAGAGCACGUAGGCGGCUGUGUAAGUCGGUUGUGAAAGCCUUCCGCUCAACGGGAGAACGGCAUCCGAUACUGCAUGGCUAGAGUGCGAGAGGGGGGAGUGGAACUUCUGGUGGAGCGGUGAAAUGCGUAGAUAUCAGAAGGAACACCGGCGGCGAAAGCGACUCUCUGGCCCGUAACUGACGCUGAGUGUGCGAAAGCUAGGGGAGCAAACGGGAUUAGAUACCCCGGUAGUCCUAGCCGUAAACGAUGGGCACUAAGUAGAGGGGUUUU